GACGAACGCUGGCGGCGUGCUUAACACAUGCAAGUCGAGCGGUAAGGCCCUUUCGGGGGUACACGAGCGGCGAACGGGUGAGUAACACGUGGGUGACCUGCCCUCAGCUCUGGGAUAAGCCUGGGAAACCGGGUCUAAUACCGGAUAUGACUCCAUGACGCAUGUUGUGGGGUGGAAAGCCUUGUGCGGCUGAGGAUGGGCCCGCGGCCUAUCAGCUUGUUGGUGGGGUGAUGGCCUACCAAGGCGACGACGGGUAGCCGGCCUGAGAGGGCGACCGGCCACACUGGGACUGAGACACGGUCCAGACACCUACGGGUGGCAGCAGUCGAGAAUUUUUCUCAA
rnacentral:rRNA from 1 species